UGUAUAUAAAACAGUGGUUUUAUAUAUAUAUAUGUAUAUGAACCAUUGUGAAUUUUUAGUUGAGUUUCAUAGUUUUGACAUCUAGAUCUAGUGUUCCUACUAAGAACUCACUAUAAAAUAUUCACUCACUCAUUCAUUCAUUCAUCCAUGCAUUUGUGUAUUCAUGCAUACAUUCAUGCAUGGUUAACUUGCUGCCUAUCACAAGUACAGCGCUUGUAGCCUUGGGUUCUGUAGGAGGAUACGAACAGUUUAACGCAUGAUCCCCAUCUUCAGGGAGCAUAUGACCUGGUGGGAAUGUGGUACAGAAGAGAAGUCAACGACAAACAGAGAGUGACUCAACUGUGCCUGAGAUGUCACAAUGCUCUGUGUGACUAUGUGUCAAGGGAAUGCCACUGAGAGUAAACAAAUGCUCUGCGUUCCUAAGAAGGAGAAAAGGCUGUGACAAAGGGAGGUUGGACAAACCCUUGGGAGGUGGCCUGCUUCUGUAUCUAACCUUGAAGCCACGAUAUGCCAAAGGAAAACCAAUGAGUCAAACAACCCCCAAAACUAAUCAAUUUGAAGAAUAUGUACAGCUGUGACGAGUGACCCCUGUGUAUUGAAGGUGAAGGACUGGAGGUUAACCCACACCUCCGAGUGACGCAGGGAGUCUGAUUCAGUAUUGUUUCCAAGACAUCGUCUAUCAGUGCUCACAGAGACCCUGCUGGCAUACACAAUGGAACGGAACCUUUCUAGCAUGAGAUACGGCUCCACGGGCUCAUCUGCUUCGCGACAGAAGAGCAGUGCCCAGUGGCUGCAGGAGAACAGAGAACUCGUGGGGCUGAUCCAGGAAGAAGCGGAAUGAAAAUGGAGGGUGCACGUUUCGAUUUUUAGCAAUCGGUUCCUCUCAGACUCUCUCCCUCCCCCAAAACACGCACGGGCAUGGUGCUUAGCAUUCUGUUUAAUUCUGCUACUUCCCCAUACGCCGUGUGUCACUGUGCUCUUUUCAGCUGCUUCCUUGCAUUGGCUUUGAGAGAGUUUGGUCCCAGGAGUAGGUAGAAUAACACAGCACGUGACACUCUUUUCCUAAAGGACUCAGCAAGUGACCACUGAGAUGUGCAGGGAAGAAUGCAUUCUCUGAAACUGACAUAGUUAUCCCAUAUGACACACUGGUCUCAGGUAUAGAAACUUCUACAAUCCCACGGCUUCUAACAGUCACAAAGAUUCCUGGGGCCAUUUAGUUCCUGCCUAAAUACUCCUAGCUCAUGUUAUGGAAGAUCUGACACUAGAUGGAAUGAAUUUUUUGAGUAUAUAAAACAGUACAAGUUUCUCCCUUAGCCAGUCAGCCCAUUCUGAGUAAAGAAGGUAUUUUACUGCUACUGUCUGAAGGAAAUUUCCCGGCCUGUAUCUUCUAAUGGUGCAAGGACUCCAGGCUAAUUCAGUGCAGGGCCACGUUCAGACACACACAAACCCGUCUUCCACUCUCUCUGCUACCAUCGGGUCCUGAUUGUGGUCACAGGUGACAUCACUCAUAAGCACAGUCAAACUAGAGGCCAGUUAAAUACCUGUGGCCUGACCUCAUGCAUAAGGCCUCAGCUGUAGCCAGGUUUUUAACACUGGGAAAUUCUGACAGAACGGAGCGACUCAUUCCAUUUGAGCUAGAGGAGGAAACAGUAGCCGAAGACACUGAAGAGAAACCCUGAGGUGGAGUUCAAGCAGAGGUGUCAUGGUGACCUGAAACUAUGAAGCAGCAAAGCUGAGUUUGUAAACAGUCAGAGAUUGCUCUUAUAACUUUUCCUAUGAUGUAGUCUGGAAUGAAGCCGGGGAUGAAGAGAAAAAAGUAGAUCAGUAGGGUCAGGUGACAGGGCUCACCCAUCUCGGAAAAGUCCCUAGUGUGGCAUCCAGUUGUCUCUGGUUCACACAGACUGAUUCGCACAACUUCCUGGUCCAGUUUCAUGCUCAGAAAUAUAAGGAGUGGUUCUGAUGCUUUGACUUAAUUGGGAAUCUGUGUUUAUUGAUGCUGAAAGUCCUUGCUCCCAAUUGAUUUUUGAUCUAUCAAUAAAAAUACCAGUGGCCAAUGGCAGGGCAGAAAGAGGUGGGACUUCCAGGUUCCCGCAGGUGAGGAGAGAGGAGAGGGCAGGAAGAGGAGAAUCGAGCUAAUUGGGGCAGAGAGAUGGAGCAGACUCAGAGCUACAGGGGAGAUCUUCCAAAAUGUAGGCCGAAAGAGAAAGUGGCCCAUAAAAGGGCAGUCCCGAAGCGUCUUGGGCAGUAAGACCAAUGGGCUUCCCAGAAGGUAACCAGGCAACCGAGCUGAGGGAAGAGUGAGAGAUGUUGAGCCUGGAGUAAAGACUAAAGAAGGAAACCGAAACAAAACUGGGGCUGAUAAUAAGGUUUAGAAGGAAAGACGGUGCUGAGCAGGGGACACAUGUGCCUGAGAGAUGGCAGGGCCUGCCAGAGAAAGGAAUCAUUAACCACCAUAAAGUUCAGAGAGGGAAGAAAAAGACAAAGAAAACAGGGCUAUUCAUGUGUUGCUGACUGCCUUUGAAGCUAAGUCUUCUUCUGUGUCUUCUCAUAUUUCCUUGAUCCAGCAACACUGGGUUUCCUUGAGCCUCUGUUAAUGGUCACAGGUCGUGAAGAUCAACCUUUUUGCACCAGGGAAUAUCAUUGGCCUCUCUUUAGCAAGGAGAAAGAAGCUGAUCUCGGGUUGAUGUAACUGUGCAUCACAAGGACUUAGAAAAGCAGGAAGAGACAACUUUGCUUUUCUAGGACUAAUCUAAUGGUCACCACAAUUCACAAAUGCAUGCGCUCAAGAGGAAAGGCUGGAUUUGUUUUUUCUACUCAACCACAAUGAAACAUAAUGAGAAAGAGGGUGACUCAAGAUGAACUUGCUGGAAGAGUCUGUGCUCUGAGGGUCUCAGACUCAGAUGUGGUUCCAAGGACGAGUCUAUCUAUGUCGUUUGGAGAAGAAGCUGAAAGAACUCUUAUUCUCCCAGUCUCAAAAGGACCCUGCAGGAAGGCAGAGCCACUUAGAAGCCAGGAAAAGGACUCUACUGGGAAACUGAACUAGCAGACACCUUGAUCUUGGGCUUGCUAGCCUCACAACUGUGAAAAAUACAAACCUGUUGUUUAACCUA